CUGUGCUUUAGGCUGGACUUGCUAAUUGCAUAAUAAGAGUAUGUCUGUCUCUCCCUCCUCAGGGUUCUACAGCUCCCUUGGCCAGAGUCUCUACAGCACUGAGAAGCUCCGUGCACCCCCUUUAAUUUCCUUCUUCCCACUGUUACUAAUCUGCGGAUAGACUUCUCAUUAUGUCUUGUUUGCACUGUUGUAGCAAUAUUGAUACUGAGUCUCCUUUGGCACAGCUCUAUCUGCAGUCCCUGUUUCAAAACGUUAGAUUCAUAUCCAUAAUAGUUUAAAAAAAACAUUUUCACAUUUUUUUUUCUUGGUAGUAUUUUAAGUUAGAAACGUUUUCUUGUCUAAAGGCACGCAGAGCUGUCUAAAUCCUACCAAGUCAGUGGUAAAACUCACCCAGACUUUCAAGGACAGUUAUCUCCAUAUUAAAUUAAAUUGACUCUUACCCUUCAGGUUUCCUGGUUUGUGUUUUGCCCCCCACCUUCCCUUCUCUGUGACCUCCCCUGACCCUCUAGCUUCUGUGCUGAUGUGAUGGAGCUGUCCGGUAGCUGUCUUGUGCACUGAACUCCGAGACACCCUUCAGACAUAACAGGUUCUGUUUCACCCACUCCUUCUUGCCCUGCUCUUUAAGAACACGAUACCCUCAUGAGCCCAACUGAUGCCUUGAUCACAACCUGUUGUUUGUACCCAUUUAUACAAUCCCAUCCACUACAAGAAGAAACUUCUCUGGUGAUCUAUGGGUAUGACACAUCAUUAGGAUUGAAAUGAUAUUUUAGUUACAUGCUACGUCUUUCCUACAGAAUUUCAGAGUCCUGGAAGACAAGAGAUACUCUGUAAAUGUUGGCCAAGUUGUGUGUGUGCCUUGGGAUCACACUAACACCAUCAAAUAUCUGCAUUAACACAUCUUCCUGUGAGCUUGUCAUAGUGCUACCUUUCCACCAUCCUCUUUGCUUCUGUUUUUAACGUAGCUCAGUAUCUCUGGCUGUCCUGGAAUUCACUAUGCAGAGCAGACUGUCCUCGAACUCACAGAGAUCCUGAGAGCUGGGAUUAAAGGCAUGCACAACUACACCAGGUUUUCAACAGCUUCUUUGAAAUUUCAGAUUAUACAACACCUCUUCAGGGGAGAGGAAUUCUUUUCCAAUGUUGGUGGGAUUGCAAACCGGUACAACCACUCUGAAAAUCAACCUGGAGGUUCCUCAGAAAUUUGGAAAUAGAUCUACCUGAAGACCCAGCUAUACCACUCUUGGGCAUAUACCCAAAGGCUGCCCCACCGUGCCACAGGGGCACGUGUUCCACUAUGUUCAUUGCAGCUCUUUUUGUGAUAGCCAGAAGCUGGAAACAACCCAGAUGUCCCACAAUGGAAGAAUGGAUACAGAAAAGGUGGUUCCAUGGUGUGGGGAGGUCUGGUGGGGACAUCCCUUUGGAGACAGGUGAGGAGGAAUGGGAUAAGGAACUGUUGGAGGACAGGGUGGGGGAUAAUGACUGGACUGUAAAAAAUAUUUAAUAAAUAAUAAUAAUAAUAAUAAUAA